rnacentral:rRNA from 1 species
GUGCUUGCACAGAUGACGACCGGCGCACGGGUGCGUAACGCGUAUAGAACCUACCUUUUACAGAGGAAUAGCCUUUAGAAAUGAAGAUUAAUGCCUCAUAGUAUUGUAGACUGGCAUCAGUUUAUAAUUAAAGAUUUAUCGGUAAAAGAUGGCUAUGCGUCCUAUUAGUUAGUUGGUAAGGUAACGGCUUACCAAGACAGCGAUAGGUAGGGGUCCUGAGAGGGAGAUCCCCCACACUGGUACUGAGACACGGACCAGACUCCUACGGGAGGCAGCAGUGAGGAAUAUUGGACAAUGGAGGAGACUCUGAUCCAGCCAUGCCGCGUGUAGGAAGAAUGCCCUAUGGGUUGUAAACUACUUUUAUACAGGAAGAAACACUGGUAUGUAUACCAGCUUGACGGUACUGUAAGAAUAAGGACCGGCUAACUCCGUGCCAGCAGCCGCGGUAAUACGGAGGGUCCGAGCGUUAUCCGGAAUCAUUGGGUUUAAAGGGUCCGCAGGCGGUCGAUUAAGU